rnacentral:rRNA from 1 species
AUGGUGAACGGAUGGAAAGAGAGAACUCUCUCCUAUGGAGGGAAGGAGGCGUUGUUGAAAGCGGUGGCCCAAGCCAUCCCAACAUAUGCGAUGAGUGUGUUCAAAUUCCCAAAGAAAGUAUGCAAGGGGAUCACUGAUGCAAUGUCGCACUAUUGGUGGGGUGAUGGGGAAAACCAGCGGAAGAUGCAUUGGUUCGCCUGGAAAAUGUGUGUGCCAAAAGAGAGAGGAGGAAUGGGCUUCCGAGAUGUCCAUAUGUUCAACUUGGCGAUGCUAGCAAAACAGUGUUGGAGGCUUAUUGAGAAUUAUGGAUCCUUGUGGGCUGGUGUC